CGCUACUUCCCGGCCGGCCCUCCGCCCCCCCCCACCCCCCCCGGCCCCGUUCCCUAGAAAUGCAGCCGAGGCGCGGGGAAGAGGGGACGCGGUUUUGGCGGGGGGGGAAGAGAUUCUUUUUGUUCUGUUGGGGGACAGCUUUGGUUUGUUGUUUUCCAGUUUCUUUUUUUCUUCCCCCCCCCUCCCCCUUGCACACAAAAUAAGUGAAGAAGAUGUGGCAAGGUGUGGCCGCGCCGUCGGGGCCGAGGAAUCUCUGGCACCGCGGGAGCAGCAGCCCACACCAGGUGUUCUGAUCUGCAAAAGACCACAGUUUAACCCCCCUGAAUCGUGUAACACCACUGAAUACUACAGUAGAAACCCACAGGUGGACUUGUGAACUCGUUCAUAUCGCA
ensembl:lncRNA